AGCGAACGCUGGCGGCAGGCCUAAUACAUGCAAGUCGAACGGAUCCUUCGGGAUUAGUGGCGGACGGGUGAGUAACACGUGGGAACGUGCCCUUUGGUUCGGAACAACUCAGGGAAACUUGAGCUAAUACCGGAUAAGCCCUUCGGGGUAAGGAUUUAUCGCCAUUGGAGCGGCCCGCGUCUGAUUAGCUAGUUGGUGGGGUAAAGGACCUACCAAGGCGACGAUCAGUAGCUGGUCUGAGAGGAUGAUCAGCCACACUGGGACUGAGACACCGGCCCAGACUCCUACGGGAGGCAGCAGUAGGGAAUCUUGCGCAAUGGGCGAAAGACCUGACGCAGCCAUGCCGCGUG
rnacentral:rRNA from 1 species